rnacentral:rRNA from 1 species
UCUCCGUAGGUGAACCUGCGGAGGGAUCAUUACACAAAUAUGAAGGCGGGCUGGAACCUCUCGGGGUUACAGCCUUGCUGAAUUAUUCACCCUUGUCUUUGCGUACUUCUUGUUUCCUUGGUGGGUUCGCCCACCACUAGGACAAACAUAAACCUUUUGUAAUUGCAAUCAGCGUCAGUAACAAAUUAAUAAUUACAACUUUCAACAACGGAUCUCUUGGUUCUGGCAUCGAUGAAGAACGCAGCGAAAUGCGAUAAGUAGUGUGAAUUGCAGAAUUCAGUGAAUCAUCGAAUCUUUGAACGCACAUUGCGCCCUUUGGUAUUCCAAAGGGCAUGCCUGUUCGAGCGUCAUUUGUACCCUCAAGCUUUGCUUGGUGUUGGGCGUCUUGUCUCUAGCUUUGCUGGAGACUCGCCUUAAAGUAAUUGGCAGCCGGCCUACUGGUUUCGGAGCGCAGCACAAGUCGCACUCUCUAUCAGCAAAGGUCUAGCAUCCAUUAAGCCUUUUUUUCAACUUUUGACCUCGGAUCAGGUAGGGAUACCCGCUGAACUUAA